UACAGAGACUGCAAGCGUUAUUCGGAUUCACUGGGCGUAAAGGGUGCGCAGGCGGCCAAGUGUGUCAGGGUGUGAAAAUCCCCGGGGCUUAACUCCGGAACUGCGCCUGAAACUACUUGGCUAGAGCAUUGGAGAGGGAAGUGGAAUUCACGGUGUAGCAGUGAAAAUGCGUAGAUAUCGUGAGGAACACCAGAGGCGAAGGCGACUUCCUGGACAAAUUGCUGACGCUCAGGCACGAAAAGCGUGGGGGAGCGAUCCGG
rnacentral:rRNA from 1 species